AUGUAUGUCUAUGUGGUAGCAGUGAUCAUUACCUUGUCAGGACAUUGUGGAGGAGACGCUGUAACUCAGCUCCAAUCUACUGUGACAGUGACUGAAGGGGAGGAUGUUUACCUGAUGUGCAAUGCUACAGCUACAAGCGGCUACAAUACGUAUCUGUUCUGGUACCGUCACUUUCCCAACAAAUCUCCAGAAUAUAUCGUUAGCACAGACACCAACAACAGGAUCAAGGACGGCGCGUACUUUGCAGAAGAACGUUUCUCAACGAAUGUGUCUAAAGCGGAGCGAACCGUCCCAUUAAAUAUAUUGCAAGUGAGAGUUACAGACUCCGCGAGGUAUUACUGUGCACUGAGACCCACAGAGGCACAGAUCAGUGGUUCCGCACUACAAAAACUGCCUUGCGGCUAG